rnacentral:rRNA from 1 species
CUUCUUUUAUGAGUGAAGAAUAUGACGGUAACUCAUGAAUAAGCACCGGCUAACUACGUGCCAGCAGCCGCGGUAAUACGUAGGGUGCAAGCGUUAUCCGGAAUUAUUGGGCGUAAAGGGCUCGUAGGCGGUUCGUCGCGUCCGGUGUGAAAGUCCAUCGCUUAACGGUGGAUCCGCGCCGGGUACGGGCGGGCUUGAGUGCGGUAGGGGAGACUGGAAUUCCCGGUGUAACGGUGGAAUGUGUAGAUAUCGGGAAGAACACCAAUGGCGAAGGCAGGUCUCUGGGCCGUUACUGACGCUGAGGAGCGAAAGCGUGGGGAGCGAACAGGAUUAGAUACCCUGGUAGUCCACGCCGUAAACGGUGGAUGCUGGAUGUGGGGCCCGUUCCACGGGUUCCGUGUCGGAGCUAACGCGUUAAGCAUCCCGCCUGGGGAGUACGGCCGCAAGGCUAAAACUCAAAGAAAUUGACGGGGGCCCGCACAAGCGGCGGAGCAUGCGGAUUAAUUCGAUGCAACGCGAAGAACCUUACCUGGGCUUGACAUGUUCCCGACGGUCGUAGAGAUACGGCUUCCCUUCGGGGCGGGUUCACAGGUGGUGCAUGGUCGUCGUCAGCUCGUGUCGUGAGAUGUUGGGUUAAGUCCCGCAACGAGCGCAACCCUCGCCCCGUGUUGCCAGCGGAUUAUGCCGGGAACUCACGGGGGACCGCCGGGGUUAACUCGGAGGAAGGUGGGGAUGACGUCAGAUCAUCAUGCCCCUUACGUCCAGGGCUUCACGCAUGCUACAAUGGCCGGUACAACGGGAUGCGACGCGGCGACGCGGAGCGGAUCCCUGAAAACCGGUCUCAGUUCGGAUCGCAGUCUGCAACUCGACUGCGUGAAGGCGGAGUCGCUAGUAAUCGCGAAUCAGCAACGUCGCGGUGAAUGCGUUCCCGGGCCUUGUACACACCGCCCGUCAAGUCAUGAAAGUGGGCAGCACCCGAAGCCGGUGGCCUAACCCCUUGUGGGAUGGAGCCGUCUAAGGUGAGGCUCGUGAUUGGGACUAAGUCGUAACAAGGUAGCCGUACCGGAAGGUGCGGCUG